rnacentral:rRNA from 1 species
GACGAACGCUGGCGGCGUGCUUAACACAUGCAAGUCGAACGGUGAAGGGGUCUGCUUUUGUGGGCCCUGGAUGAGUGGCGAACGGGUGAGUAACACGUGAGUAACCUGCCCCCUUCUUCUGGAUAACCGCAUGAAAGUGUGGCUAAUACGGGAUAUUCUGGGUCUGUCGCAUGAUGGGUCUGGGAAAGAUUGCGCCUUUGGGUGUUUUUGGUGGGGGAUGGGCUCGCGGCCUAUCAGCUUGUUGGUGGGGUGAUGGCCUACCAAGGCGGUGACGGGUAGCCGGCCUGGGGGGGUGGACGGUCCCACUGGGACUGGGACACGGCCCAGACUCCUACGGGAGGCAGCAGUGGGAAUAUUGCACAAUGGGCGCAAGCCUGAUGCAGCGACGCCGCGUGAGGGAUGGAGGCCUUCGGGUUGUAAACCUCUUUCGCCAGUGAAGCAGGCCUGCUCCUUGUGGGUGGGUUGACGGUAGCUGGAUAAGAAGCGCCGGCUAACUACGUG